rnacentral:rRNA from 1 species
GACUAUGGCCAUAACACCUGAACAUGCUUCAUCUUGUCUGAUCUCGGAAACUAAGCAGGGUUGGGCCUGGUUAGUACUUUUAAGGGAGAAAAAAAGUCACCAAGCCC